CAACUGCGAAACCCGCCGGUCGGCAAAUAUAACUUUUAAUAAAAGUGUCGAUGCGCAGUGCAUUGAUUUCAUAUUAGGGAAAUGAACCGCCUGUGUACCUACCUUAAUUAUUGUAAACAGUGAGUGACAAUUAUUUGUGCAACAGUGAAGUUCCGGCGUGCAGUGCAACGGUUUUGAAAUCGCAGUGUCAGCCUCAUGGAGGGGGGGAUGAAGAAAGAGGUGACUGAAAAUAAGGUUUGGGGAACGAGGCUGCUUUGCAGAAGUUGUUGAACAACGUGAUGAUGAGGCACGGAGUUGCGGGGGGCGAUUCUGCCUUUCGCUCAUGCAUGGGGGAUAAGAAAGAGGGGGCGUCUAGUGUCGCGGGCGGUAUUUCCACGCGAUGAGGAACAUCGUGUAAUGUAUGGCUGCGAUUCUAUAUGCGCGCGUCGUUUAUUUCAUCUUGAUUACGAAGCUCAGCUGCGGAAAUGGAUGGAGAAAAUUGAUGUCACCAAUCGCGUUAUCUUCUUUAUAGGAGAAACUAUGUGAGAAGUACGAUGCUUACUUUAUUUUCAAUCGAGUAUUCAGCCGGUGGAUUGGAAACAGCAACUCGACUUAUCGUCAUGGUUUCUUAUCCUGUCGCUUCAUCGUGAUCGACGACCACGGCUUCGAUUCACAACAAUGGGCCGAAUAAUUAGAACAACGCACAAGUCCGAAGGGGUUGGCCUUCCUUUCUUCAGGAUUUCUUCACCAAAGACCUUUCAUCUCUGAAUCCAUUCAUACGACUUUGCCUAGACUAACCAGAUAUCAAGGAUUCCAAAAAAGGCGUUCCAAUUAUCGUGGUAUUAACAACUGACAAAUUGCGAAUAAAAUAUUGGAAAAUUCAAUUAUUUAUUCGUUUCAAUCCAGGUUACAAAAAGUAGCAGCGAUACAGUAUCAAAUGUAACAUAUCGUAUCUUGCAGGGGUGCGUUGCGCUUGUACGCAAGCCAGAACUUAAAAUAUACUUACUAACUACGACAAUGACUGUCUAAUAUAAUAUUUUUCAUAUUCUGCUUAAUAUAAUAUAUACUGCAAUCCUUUGUGUUGUUCUAAUGUUCAAACAUAUUACGAAAUGUUCAAUGUUAACAUACUUUUGGAUUUCUUUUCGACUUUCACUUAGUACUAUUAGGUAACUUGUUAAAAUACUACACACUGACACCCCAACACUUGUAUUAAGAUUGAGGCGUAUUAAAUAAACAGCUAAAACUUGGUAGUUA
rnacentral:lncRNA from 1 species